ACUCCUACGGGAGGCAGCAGUGGGGAAUAUUGGACAAUGGGCGAAAGCCUGAUCCAGCAAUGCCACGUGUGUGAAGAAGGCCUGAGGGUUGUAAAGCACUUUUAUUAGUGAAGAAGGCAUAUAGGUUAAGAGCUAAUAUGUUUGACAUUAGCUAAAGAAAAGUACCGGCUAACUCCGUGCCAGCAGCCGCGGUAAUACGGAGGGUGCAAGCGUUAAUCGGACUUACUGGGCGUAAAGAGCCUGUAGGUGGAUAAUUAAGUCAGAUGUGAAAGCCCAGGGCUCAACCUUGGAACUGCAUUUGAAACUGGUUAUCUAGAGUAUGGUAGAGGGUAGAGGAAUUUCCGGUGUAGCGGUGAAAUGUGUAGAGAUCGGAAGGAACAUCAGUGGCGAAGGCGUCUACCUGGACCAAUACUGACACUGAGAGGCGAAAGCGUGGGUAGCAAACAGGAUUAGAUACCCUGGUAGGAUAGCGU
rnacentral:rRNA from 1 species